CCUAUGUGAUGACUAGUGGUAUAUUGAGCCAAAGGAGGACCAGCUCUUAUACUUUUCCCAGUUGUGAAUAUUCUAGCUUAGGCUAGGGCCAAGGAAUCCCUCAGCUUUCCAGACCAGAAGUGGACAAACAGAAGAUCCUCACUACCUGGAACUUAAUUGCAACUGUAUCCAAGAAACUUCAAACAACUCUGUGGAUGCAUAAAGGAGAAAUGAGAGACCAGGUGCCUCCAACACUCCAACACCAACUACCAUGCUGUCCUUUCUGGAUCACCUGUCAGGAUUAGGUGGUAUUUGCACCACUCCUACUUGUCAGGUUAUCUGAGGAGGCUCUACAGAAAGAGGAUGCCUUGACAUGUGAAACUACAGGAAUACCCCACAUUAACGUAUGCAAUGGGUCCAGAGAAUUGUGGGAGCUAUAUUCUUUCUUGGGCAGUGAAGAUGGGUCCAACAGAAAGUAAAGGCUUUGAGCAUGCUCAGAAUGCCACAUCAAAAUUGGCAACUUGCUUGCCUUUAUGUCCAGGACUUGAGAAUUCUGCAAUGCUGAACACCCUCCAAUUCCGCAAGUGUGAAUUUCAUCUCUUCCCUAUCCCGCUCUCUUUUUGCAAAGAAGAAAUGGAAGUGAUGGGAUGUCUACAAACCUUUUUGAGGACAUGGCUCUGGACUGGCCCAAAAUUAGUUGGAAUGUUUUUAGUAGGGUUUUUUUUGCAUAAUUAGAGUCUCCACUGCAUCGCUACUUCAAGAAUCAUAACAAUGUUUCCCAUGCCAUACUAUGACACAAUGACCUUUUACAAGAAUAAAUCCACUAUGUUGACUCAAAGGAAAAAUGAAGGAUUGUAAAGCUGUACAAUUUUUGUACAAGUAGGACCUUGACAUUUUUGAUAAAAUGUAUUGAUUUUGUGAUAGGAAAGCAUAACUAUAAUAUGAUUCCCACCAGUAUAUUCAUGGGUCAGUAUCCACUGAGACAGGCUAUCUCUAAAAUUACUUCAGAAUUCCACCUCUUAGUCCAACUCUCAAAUGCUUUCUAAUAAA